rnacentral:snRNA from 1 species
GUGUUCACUUCAGCAGCACACAUACUAAAAUUGGAACGACACAGAGAAGAUUAGCACGGGCCCUGUGCAAGGAUGGCAUGCAAAUUCGUGAAGCUUCCAGAAAAAGA